UUAUGUGUAAUAAUGGUUAUAUACAGUGGCGUAUUUAGAAGGGGGCACAUGCCCCUCCCCAUUGAUUGAAUGCUGUAAAUAUUUUAUCAAGCUUUGUAAUAAUGUAUAAUAUUAGAAAAAGUUUUUUUUUGAUUAUCGAUAAUAACAUAGGCUUAUUAAAAGUUGGUCGAUAUAUUUGUCUUAUGGAUCAAAAUUUGACAACCGCACAGUUGUCCCGAUAAUGUCAUCUCCUAUUUUUGAUGUGUUUAUCGCGUAGUGAUGCACACUUAUUAAAUAAGAAAUAUUUUUAUUGAUAAACAUUUAAUAUAUAAAAAAUAUGUGUAAACAAAAGUUAGGAGCAAUAAAGAAAGUCGUUUUAUGGUACUUAUUCAUGAACAUUUCUUGUAGCCCUCCCCCCCACCAUUGUAAAUUUCUAAGUACGUCAUUGUUUAUAUGUAUAUAACAGUAUAAUAUAACGUAAUACAAUCGUAAAACAUUGAGUUUUUGCGUACAGUUAAUAUGUAAUAGUCUUUAAUAAAAAACACCUCUAAACCAUUUGUGCGUUUUUUUUUCGAGUAGACGUUCGAAAAGAAAAUUCAACACGGUUAGCGAUAUAUGAAACCCUAGACGCUACAGAGCGCGCAUCAAAUGCCGCGCUCCUAUUGGUCGACUUUUAAUAGAUUUAUACAAUCUAUUUUAACACAAUCUGUUUUCAUCAAACUUUAGAUGUAUACUUCUAAAUUACUUCUAAAUUAAACGUUAUAAUUUCAAUGCAAAAAUGAUUAAUUGUAUAAUUGAUGGAAUCAAUAAUAUUAAUAAGGAUUUGCAUUGCAAAUUAGUAGAAAGUAAAAAAAAUAAUGUAUCAGUGAUACGAUGCAAUUUAAACAAUGAAGAGGACGUUGACAUUUUUUUUUGCAUAUUUAAAGAAAUAACUGCUACGAGUUGGAUUGUUCAGGGGCAAUUAAAAAAUCCCGAUAGAGUCGUGUAUCAUAAAUAUUGGUUGUGCCAACACAGCCAAAGAAAUAAGGUAUACAAGAAAAAUUUAGACGAAUUAACUCCACGUAAUACAUUGUGUGAGGCUAAAAUUGAUAUUUUAAUUAAAAAAAAUAACAGAAAUACGAGAAAAAAUGAUGAUUAUCUAAAGCAAAAUCCUCCUUUAUGUGGACAAAUUACUCUAAGCAAUGAACAUAAUCAUACAAUCAAUACAAGUGGUUCAUUGAAAUAUUUACGUAUUAAUCCAGAAGAUUCCUCCUUAAAUGGCUUAUUGUGCUGUUCACCGACCAAAAUGAGUAUAGUGUUGUAUCAACGAAUUGGUCAGAAAAAAUUAAUUGACUCUAGUAAAUAAUUGGUAUUGGCCUCCAGGGCACUGUUAACAGUGACAUGUUAUACAAAAAGCAGAUGAGCCGGUGUUAACCUGGAAAAUGUAUAGAGUAAAAGUUUAUGGUGGAAAUAAAACUUUUGAUAAUUUUAAUAGAGCAUGGCAUCAACAAGUUAAUAUUGUGGAUUCGUCAACUAAUGAAACAGGCAAUGAAGAAAUUAUGAUUCCAAGACAUAAACAAAAAGGAAAGCUUGUCUCACAAAAUGUGUUGUUUAAUGUAACUGAUAAAAGUGACAACGACAAUGGUAAUUUUUAAAUUAAUAUAACUUUAACAAUAUAGUCAAACCAAAAAUAUAAUGCGUGUAUUAUUUUUUUUUAAGUACAUAUUUUAUGUAUAAUUCUAUGAUAUUCCUAUAAACUAUAUAAUUAUAAGUAUAACAUAACAAUAUAACUUUUUAAUUCAAUUAAUUAGUUUGUUUAGAUAAUAGUUAUAAUAUAAUGGCUCAGUCAUCAUCCGCCACAUUGAAUAUUGUCAAAACCUUUGUUUGUAAAAUCAUAUAGUAGUACUCUAAUAGUUUCAAGUUUAGAAUGUCUUAUUUACCAAACCAAUCAAUAUCUUUGGCCACACAUACAUCAGUUGAACUUGCAGCAUCUUGUAAUUGGUCUUCUUCAUUAACUGAAAAUGACAACCAUCAACAACUCUCCGAGUCAAUGCCUACAGAAUCCACAGAUAUUUGUUCUACAACGGACUUCUAAUUAAAGGUAUAUUAAGUGGCCAAAAAUUAAUUAUCGUAAGGUAAAAAUUUAAAGUUUUAUGUGUGAAUCCAAAGAAAGAAUAAUUUUUGAAUUUUGAUUACACUUUUAUAUUCAUAUUUUAAUUAAUAGUCAUCAUACACAAUGAACGCUUUAAAUCAGUGUGUUCUCCGACAAAAGAAUUAUGAUCCAACAAUGAACAUGAUGAUGUUAAAUAGAAUAUUAUCAAAAGUAGAAAACAUUGAAAAAAUGUUGUCUAAACAUAAAAAUGAAAAUAAAAAUGUUCUGUUAGACAAUAAAUUUUUAACAAAAGUCUCCAUUGAUAAUGUUGAAGGAUUUUUAUUGGUUGAAAGUUGCAUUAGUAAUGAAAUUGAUUUUGUUUCAAAAUUGGUAAUUAGAACUUUGGUUAAACACGAGUAAAAAAAGUUUUAACGGCUAAAUCUAGUCAACAUUUUCACAAAAAAUUAAUAUAUAUUUCAUAGUUUUUACAAAAUUAAACCUAAAUUUCAGUUUUUGCUGUAGAAAUAUUUUAUGAGUGACAAUAUAAUUUUUUAUAUGUGUUUAUGUUUUUUUUUUAUACAUUUAUAAUUACAGUUUCAAAAUAAUAUUUAGAAAAAAAUUUUAUUUAUAUUUAAUAAGUGCCAUU